GCGAGAAUAGCUCAGUUGGUAGAGCCCCGGAUUGUGAUUCCGGUUGUCGCGGGUUCGAGCCCCGUUUCUCGCCCCA
rnacentral:tRNA from 1 species